rnacentral:rRNA from 1 species
AGCGAACGCUGGCGGCAGGCCUAACACAUGCAAGUCGAACGAACCCUUCGGGGUUAGUGGCGGACGGGUGAGUAACACGUGGGAACGUGCCUUUAGGUUCGGAAUAACUCAGGGAAACUUGUGCUAAUACCGAAUGUGCCCUUCGGGGGAAAGAUUUAUCGCCUUUAGAGCGGCCCGCGUCUGAUUAGCUAGUUGGUGAGGUAAUGGCUCACCAAGGCUACGAUCAGUAGCUGGUCUGAGAGGAUGACCAGCCACAUUGGGACUGAGACACGGCCCAAACUCCUACGGGAGGCAGCAGUGGGGAAUCUUGCGCAAUAGGCGAAAGCCUGACGCAGCCACGCCGCGUGGAUGAUGAAGGUCUUAGGAUUGUAAAAUCCUUUCACCGGUGAAGAUAAUGACUGUAGCCGGAGAAGAAGCCCCGGCUAACUUCGUGCCAGCCGCCGCAGUAACAC